AACGCGAAGAACCUUACCAGCUCUUGACAUGUCUCGUAUGGAACCGGAGACGGUUUCCUUCAGUUCGGCUGGCGAGAACACAGGUGCUGCAUGGCUGUCGUCAGCUCGUGUCGUGAGAUGUUGGGUUAAGUCCCGCAACGAGCGCAACCCUCGCCCUUAGUUGCCAUCAUUCAGUUGGGCACUCUAGGGGGACUGCCGGUGAUAAGCCGAGAGGAAGGUGGGGAUGACGUCAAGUCCUCAUGGCCCUUACGGGCUGGGCUACACACGUGCUACAAUGGCGGUGACAAUGGGAGGCUGAGGGGCGACCCCGAGCAAAUCUCAAAAAGCCGUCUCAGUUCGGAUUGCACUCUGCAACUCGAGUGCAUGAAGGUGGAAUCGCUAGUAAUCGUAGAUCAGAACGCUACGGUGAAUACGUUCCCGGGCCUUGUA
rnacentral:rRNA from 1 species